UGGGCAACCUGCCCCUCUCUCUGGGAUAACCCCCGGGGAAACCGGAGCUAAUACCGGAUACUCCGGCUGGAUCGCAUGGUCCGGCCGGGAAAGGUCCGCCGGAGAGGGAUGGGCCCGCGGCCUAUCAGCUUGUUGGUGGGGUCAUGGCUCACCAAGGCGACGACGGGUAGCUGGUCUGAGAGGACGACCAGCCACACUGGGACUGAGACACGGCCCAGACUCCGUACGGGAGGCA
rnacentral:rRNA from 1 species